rnacentral:rRNA from 1 species
CAGCAGCCGCGGUAAUACGAAGGGGGCUAGCGUUGCUCGGAAUUACUGGGCGUAAAGGGCGCGUAGGCGGACAGUUCAGUCGGGGGUGAAAGCCCGGGGCUCAACCUCGGAAUUGCCUUCGAUACUGGCUGUCUUGAGUAUGAGAGAGGUGUGUGGAACUCCGAGUGUAGAGGUGAAAUUCGUAGAUAUUCGGAAGAACACCAGUGGCGAAGGCGACACACUGGCCCAUUACUGACGCAGAGGCUCGAAAGCGUGGGGAGCAAACAGGAUUAGAUACCCGAGUAGUCCCUGUCUCUUAUAC